rnacentral:rRNA from 1 species
GUAGGUGGCAAGCGUUGUCCGGAAUUAUUGGGCGUAAAGCGCGCGCAGGCGGUCCUUUAAGUCUGAUGUGAAAGCCCACGGCUCAACCGUGGAGGGUCAUUGGAAACUGGGGGACUUGAGUACAGAAGAGGAAAGCGGAAUUCCAAGUGUAGCGGUGAAAUGCGUAGAGAUUUGGAGGAACACCAGUGGCGAAGGCGGCUCUCUGGUCUGUAACUGACGCUGAGGCGCGAAAGCGUGGGGAGCAAACAGGGAUUAGAUACCCUGGUAGUCCACGCCGUAAACGAUGAGUGCUAAGUGUUAGGGGGUUUCCGCCCCCUUAGUGCUGCAGCUAACGCAUUAAGCACUCCGCCUGGGGAUACGGCCGCAAGGCUG